UCGGCCUCCGGGCCGCGGGAGCGCUUCCCGCUGGAGGAGGGCGGGCGGCCGGCCGCCGGGGCGGACGGCGAGCGGUUCCUCCCGCCGGAGCUGGGC
rnacentral:tRNA from 1 species